rnacentral:lncRNA from 1 species
GGAUAGCGUACUGUAUCAGACCAUGCCUGUUCUAAAGGGCAAAGCCAUGCAGCAUCUACCGUCCACAGCUUUGCUAACCCAGCAAUUACAAACUAUUUAAAAACAAACAAAACCACCCUAUUGACUGGUCACUGUAUUGCUCUCAGUGAAAGUGAUGCAAAAACCAACUUUACUCUUUCUGUCCUGCUUAUAUGAAAUGCUUUAGAAAAACUUGUACGGGAUGCAAUCCUUUCAUGACACACACAUCUGAUAAGUACUUAAUAAUGACUGUCAUAGAGUAAACGUAGAAUGGUCUGUUAUUCCUUUGAGGCCCCAUUUGGCAAAUGAAGCAGGAGAUAAAGGACCAAUUUCUACUUCAUAUCCUAACCACACUGGUUAUGAAGUUAGUGUGAUGUCCCAGAUUUCACAGUGUUUUGGAUAUAUUGGCCAUGCAGGAAGCUUUAAGAAGUUGUGAGGUUGGGUCUUUUUUCUACUUUCAAAUGCAGCGAAAUUCAUUUUAUUGAUAACCAAUUAACUACUGCUGAGAUGCUGCCAAAAAUCUGUGACUGCGUGGACAGCUGAUGUGCAAAUUUCUAGCUGGCAUCACCAGCCAUCUUUCAUUCUUGCCUCCUAUCUGGGUUUUAAAAGAAUUUCCCAAAAUAAAGCUGACUUACUCACAACUUGAAAUGUAGUGAUCCUUUAAGGCUGCAAAAUAUUUGUGCUUUUGCCAUGUGCAUUCUCAUGGAAUUGCACCUUUCUUUGUUUUGGAGGAGCAUGAAAGUGCAAUCGGUAAUUCGAAAGCAUUUAUCAUGCUGUAGAAUAGUUCAAAAGUGGCCUAUUAAACAUAAAGCCUUUUUCUUGCAUUUUAUACAUAAUUGACUCCAUUCGGUUUCUAAAUAUGGAAAGUUGAGUCUCUAGAACAUGUGAAUUCUAAUGUUACUUUUAUGAUAGCAGCAAAUCUCUUUUGUAAAGAUGAUUUGGUUAAACAACCAAACUUAUGUCAUCUAAAGAAAUUUCAGUUCAAGUGUAUGUGUUUUCUCAGAAUUGCGUCUUCAUGACCUGCUGAAGGCGAGGACAUCAGGCUCAGAGUGUUUGGUGGACUUGGCCGUCAAAUGGGCAGGAUUGCAAGUCGUAUUAAUACCUGGGCGUGGCUACCGGAUCUGCCUGACACUACUGGACCCACGCCAGCCUCAGCGCUGCUGCAGUCUUCUGCUGGGGCUUGACAGCGAGGGUAAAUACAGAGUGUCCGAGUGUGAGCCGACCCUAGCCAGCUUGGAUGGACUUCUGAAAGAGCUGAGGCGAACCUGCAACCUGUUACAGUUUGUGCGUCAUGUGCGACAGCAGUUCAAGAACCUGUUACUUGCACAUCCAGUGGAGCCCUCUGAUGAGCCAGCGCAGAUUGUUGAUGAGCACCAAGAAGCAGUGGCCAAGAUCACAUUCAACCUGUCCAACUUUGGAGUCGGUUGGAGUGCGCAGCGGGCUCGCGCAGCACAUAAGCCCAGAUUGGCUCGCACAAACCUGUUGG